rnacentral:lncRNA from 1 species
CCAUGUUUAACCAAAUAUAUGAAUUUCAUCCAUCCUCUCCUUCAUCGAUCCUUCCUCUUCCAUCUAUCCUUUCUUCAAUUAAUCCUUCGUACCAAAAAAAGGGUUAGUUUUCAUAGAAAAAAAAUUGGACAAAAAAUUAUUGAAGGAAUCAGCAGAGAAGGUACAAAGAGAAGGGGAGAUCAAGAUAGAAAAAUGUGAAGUUGAGGGAGGAAGUUGUCACAUAGAUG